rnacentral:rRNA from 1 species
UAGCGAGGGGGGCGAGCGUUGUUCGGAAUUGAUUGGCGUAAAGGGUGCGUAGGCGGUUUGGUAAGUCUGAUGUGAAAUCUAUGGGCUCAACUCAUAGUCUGCAUCGGAAACUGCCGGGCUUGAGUGUGGGAGAGGUGAGUGGAAUUCCUGGUGUAGCGGUGAAAUGCGUAGAUAUCAGGAGGAACACCGUGGUGGUAAGACGGCU